AGAUUCUCCAAGCUUCCCGUGGAGCCACACCACCUCCUGUCUUGGCACUUCAUGAGUCCAAUGCUGCUUCCCGAGAGGCUCUGGUUGGUAGACCGUGACCUUGAUUCCUGCCUGUAAGCCUCGCUUUUUUCCUCAGCAGCCACCACCUUUUUGGCACUAGAACAGUGCUUAUAGUGCACUCAUCAGUGGAUGCUGAAAUCACAACCUGGCCAUUUGGAUGUUCAACUAAUGCUUUAUGUUACAGAGUCCCUGCAACUCAGCAACCUGUGCCGGAACUCACUGGCGCUCAGGAGCUCAGUCGACCAUAGCUAUGGAAUGCGACCAGAGUCGACCCCAUCUGCCACCUCCGCUGCACACCAGUUCCAGCCCCGGUUAUCGAGCCUGUCUGACUGCAACAUCCUCCUGGUUCUCCCGGUUCCCAUCCUGCCGCUGGCAACUGAUCUCCACGUGGUGACGAGACACGUCCAAUGGUGGCACACUAGCGUUUCCUACAGUACAAUCCAAAGUCCUUGAGGCCCGUGAAGCCAGAACUUCGUUGGUCACUGGUGCAGACACUGGCAGAUGCUUACAGCUCUUCCUGCGGACAGGCACAUCCUAGCGCCGGCUUUCUCCAGUGUGUAUCAGAGGCUGUGCGGUGGUGUCAGAGCUUCCUCAGGGUGCACGUGAACAGGGUGAGCACAGAAUUUCUCUCCCAAACCACAACACUUUACAGUUAAAGAGAACACUAGUCACAAAUGUGUCAGGUCAGCAGGCAUAAACAGGCUCUCCAGGCAACCCAGGACCCGACCCCUACACACCAGGGUAGAGGGUGCCAAACAGAAUACUUCCCACACCAACCUUAAAUCUCACCAACUUGAAGGUUGAACCCAAGCCUCAAACACCUGGGCCCAGGGAUUCGAGGUUGAACCCAAGCUCUGGCACUUUGUAUUCAUUAGCUCAUCUGCCGCAGUUUCCUCAUCUUGUGUGAGGUUGCAAAGAGGGCUUGAAAAAGGGACCUCCUGUCUGCUGUAACAGGCUCCAGAAAGUUACAGAGUGCAGGCUGUUACUGUAAUUUUGAUGAGUCUGGGGCAGAUGGAACUAGAAUUUCUCCAAAGGCAAAUAAACAUUUCCAGGCGUCAGACAGCUCUAUAGGGAGCAGCAGGAAAGUCCAAGGGGAGGUACAGGCAAUCUGUGCUUGCACAUUUAGCAAAUAACAAGACGUUCAAGGGCCCCUGGGAGUUCUGUAAAUGAGGUAGAAGUCUUAGCCAUCAGACAGGUGGCGCUUUAGGAGGAAGACGGCUCUCCUGACAUGGGUUUUCUCCCCACCCAGGCUGAUGGCACAGGUGGAAGUUGAGAGAAUGUUUAUGCAGCAAGACAGAAGACACUGGAAACUGAGGCAUAAUCGGGUGAUCCACUGCUGAAUGUGCCCAGUGGUCAUGCCUGGCGGGAUCAAGUCUAAAGUUGAUAUUUGUACCCUGGUUGGAGUGCAGUGGUGCGAUCUCGACUCACUGCAACCUCCACCUUCCAGAUUCAAGCAACUUGCCUGCCUCAGCCUCCUGAGAAGCUGGGCCUACAGGCAUGCACCACCACGCCCAGGUAAUUUUUGCAUUUUUGGUAGAGACAGGGUUUCACCUUCUUGGCCAGCCUGGUCCCAAAUUCCUCACUUCUUGCUAUCCUACCACCUCCACUCCCAACAUUGUUACACUUUUUGAAGUCACUGAUCUGCUUGAAAAGGGGGUAGAAGUUUUAAAUCUUCUGCCCAGGACAGAGGAGACAGACACAAAACUUCAACACAAUGACAAGGGCUUCAAGUGACUAAGUUCUAUCCAGGUAUCCUUGAGUAAGAACCCUUGAAAAGUACCUACUAAGAUGAAAAUUAGCCUGGACAACAUAGUAAAACCCAUCUCCACAGAAAAGAAAAAAAAAAGAAAAGAAAAACAAUGGAAGGGCAUGGUGGCACAGGCCUUAGCCCCAGCUACUUGGGAGGCUAAGGCAAGAGGAUCGCUUGGGCCCAGGGGUUCAAGGCUGCAGUGAUUUAGGAUCAUACCAUUGCAUAGAAGACAUUGUAAAGAGGAAAAUGAGGGAGAGAGAAAAGACGGGGGAAGAGAAUGGGGGAAAGGGAAGAAAAGAGGUAGGAAGAGGAAAAAAGAGGGAAUAGAGGGAGGGAGAAAAAGGAAAGAAAAGAAGAAAGGAAGAAAAAAGAAAACAAAUGAGAAAAACAUAUAAACCUUGUGGCCAGUGGAAUUCCACUGUUAAGAAUUUACUCUGCAGAGAGAAUGGCGUUCACAGAAUAAUUGUAAGAGAGGAAACCUGGGAAAAACUCAAGAGCACUUCAUUAUUAACCUAGCUGAAUACAUUCCAUUCCAUGGACUAUUACAUGGUCAUUUGCACUGCACAGGAGACACUGAUUUUUUUAGGUGGAUAUAUUAACUCCACAUGCUGACUGUGUGCAUAGAUCAUCUCAGAAAGGAAUCACCAAAGAAACCCUAACAGAGGUUGGCUUUCAGGAGGGGUCGGGGAGCAGCUUUAAGGCUGCACCAGCACCAACCAAUAGAACUUUUUGCAAUGAGGACCAUGUUUCUGGGCCAUCAGCAGCUGUGGAGCACCUGAAAUGUGGAGCACCUGAAAUGUGGCCCACGCAGCCAAAGAACCAAAUCCUUCAUUAUUAAUGUUAAUUCAUUUAGAUUUUUUUUUUUCUUUUUUGAGAUGGAGUCUAGCUCUGUUGCCCAGGCUGGAGUGAAGUUGCUUGAUCUUGGCUCAC